AAACAAAAUAUUCUUAUGCCGGCCCAUAAGAUAUUAAUCCAGAAUGCUCUCAGGUCUAAAUUCAUGCCCAAAGAGCACCCAACCCUUAGUUCGCGUUGAAAACGCUCCCAACCCUCAAUUGACGCCAACAAAUCCACCCAAGCAACGGCAAAGCCCCACUGUAACGUCCCAACUUAGGCGACGGCGUUGUCCCCGCAAUCGGCUUCUGAAUGAGCUGGAUGGUAACGAUCGCGACGGUAGAUUGUAGUACGUAUGGACCUAUUUCGUGGUUAAAUGUUCAAAGGAGUGAUGGAGCAAGGAGAAGAACCAGUUCAAGUAUCGAAUAACGAACUUCUUGUACAAUCCAGUGAUAGGGGUAAUACCGAAAAUGUAGUCACAUUGGAAGAUGAUGUACUAGGAGAAGAUGGUACGGCUGUGCUGGAGGUGGGAGGAGACGAUACAAUUGUGCCGGAGGUAGGAGAAGACGGUACAAUUUUACCGAAGGUGGGUAUGAAGUUUAAAGAUGAAAACUAGGUGUAUGAAUUUUACAAGAAAUAUGUAUAAUGUAGGGUUUCCGGUUAGGAAAAGGAAUUCGAGGAGGGGGAAUGAUGGAAUAGUGAGAUACAUUACCUUGACGUGUUGUCGUAAGGGCCAUAGAAGUAGUAAUACAAGCAGUUCUUUGAAACCACAACCAACAAUUCAGACAGGUUGUAAAGCAAGGCUUACUACUUCUUCGGAUAUCCGUGGAGUGUAAAAAAUUUGCACAGUGUGUCUCGAACACAAUCAUAAAACAAGUCCCUCAAAGUUGAGAUUGUAUCGAUGCAAUUGAGAGUUGAGUGCAAAUGUUGAACGUAAGCUUGAAGUGAAUGACAUGGCUGGAAUUCCUUUACACAAAAGUUUCAACUUUGCAGUUAUCGAAGGGGGUGGCUAUGAGAAUAUGACUUGCGUGGAAAAAGACUGUCGAAAUUAUGUUGAACAAGUGAGGCGUUUGAGACUAGGUAUAGGAGAUGCCUCGGCAAUACAGUCAUACUUUUCACAAAUGCAAGCACGGUGCUCGAGAUUUUACUUUUGUAUCGACAUGGACGAAGAGUCACGACUGAAGAAUGUGUUUUGAACAGAUAAUAGAUGUAGGCUAGCGUAUAAGAAGUUUGGUGAUGUAGUGACCUUCGAUACGACAUAUCUGACUAAUAAUGUCUUUUGCUCCCUUUGUCAGAGUAAAUCAUCCUGGACAGUCAACACUUCUCGGAUAUGGUUUGCUAUCAAAUGAAGAUACUGAUACAUUUGUGUGGCUGUUCAGGACAUGGUUGCAAUGCAUGCAUGGCAAACCUCCUAAUGGAAUUAUUACGGAUCAAAAUAAGGCUAUGCAAAAUGAUUGUCUUUCCAAAUACAAGGCAUAAAUGGUGUUUAUGGCAUAUCAUGAAAAAGUUACCUGAGAAGUUUGGGUACCACGUUGACAAAGGUGGAAUAUUUUCGUCCAUACACGGAUUAGUGUAUGAUAUGCAGCGUGCGGAUGAAUUUGAAGUAGGUUGGGGAAAUAUGCUCAAUACAUAUAACUUACGUGACAACGAAUGGUUAUCGAGGUUGUACGAAAAUAGGGCUCGUUAGGUGCCAUGCUAUUUGAAAACGACUUUCUGGGCAGGGAUGUCAACAACGCAACGCAGUGAAAGCAUGAAUACGUUUUUUGACGGGUAUGUGCAUUCGAAGACAUCCUUAAAGCAAUUCGUUAAGCAAUAUGAACGGGCAUUAAGAAGUAAAGUUUAAAAGGAAUUCCAAGCAUGUUUUAAAUCUUUUUCGCAAAUGGUGCCUUGUGCAACAAAGUAUGAAAUGGAAAAAUAAUUUCAAGCAGUUUAUACGAUCUCAAAGUUCAGGGAAUUUCAGGAUGAGAUAACUGGGAAGGUUUAUUGCGAUGUCGUAUUUGCAAUUGAUAACCUUACGGAGAGGAUGUAUGAGGUUGAGGAGGAUGUCAUUACUAGAGAAACGGUGAGGAAGACAAAGUUUUUUGUCACAUUUUGUGCAGAGGGGUACGAUGUUGUUUGCAAUUGUCACCUAUUUGAGUUCCAUGGAAUUUUGUGCAGACAUGCCAUAUUGAUGUUGAUGCGUAACGGCGUCACAUUAUUAUCAGAUAGGUACAUAUUGAGGAGAUGGAGAAAAGACAUCAGUAGAGCCCAUACGAGGGUCGCUGUGAACUACGGUGGUCUGCUUAACACUCCUAGCCAGUUGAGAUAUGGUAGAAUGUGUGAAUUGUUCGCUACAUUGGCCAAUAUUACCGCAAAUGAUGAAGAUAGAACUGGUGCAAUAAUAGAGUGGAUUCAAACGCAAUCUAAAGGCAUAGAAUCCACAAAGUCCAGUUGCGAAAGUAACAGCAUUUCCCAGCCUAGUCUUCAUUCAGGGUUACAAUCGAGAGCAUUGCAAGAUACGAGCAGCAGGGCCAUACAAGAUCCUAAAUGUUCGAAAAGGAAAGGUGCGCCCAAAAAAUUACGUGUUAAAGGCGCAUUGGAGUCCGACUCCAAGAACGCAAGGGCGAGAUCGCAAGGGACAAAGAGCAAUGUUCAUUCCAGUGCACAAUCCAUUCCACGCCCGUCGCAAGCACAGUAGUCGAAGCCACUUCCAUUCUCGUAUUCACAGGUUACAGUUGCAAAGUUCGUUCAAAAUAUUUACCAUAUUAUAGGCAUGAUUCCUAUUCGUUUGUUCAUGUCAUGCAAGGCGAAGGGGAAAGUAACGCACUACCAUACCAAUUGCCGUCUUCGCAUUUCAGUUCCAUGUCGAGUUCAAAUACUUUACCUAUUUGACAAGGCAAUAUGCAGCCCCACAACCAUCUCGAUUUUCCACACAUGGGGGUCGUUGACAAUUUACUGAGACUGUCCUCAACCGGUAUUUUCCCGCAAGGAUUUUACACUCUGUCGCCUCCAAGUGCUAUGGCGGGUUGGAUGUCGAGUGCCACAUAUUCCCUUCCUCAGGCUAGUGUUGAUGGAGGCCCUUCAGGUGUUGUUGACAUGCCAAGCUCUAGAAUGUUGUAUGUAGUGACGCCCAAUCCAUGGGAUGCACCUCCAUAGGGUGUUCGAUUCUACCUCAUGAAGUUUUUCCAGCUAAUAUCUACUUUUGUCUCAUCUUUUGAGGAUAGAUUGAAAAGGAAUGUCUACUACCAGUGGCUGAAAUGAUUUGUCUUAAGAGAUGGAGGUGGAUGCAUCUACACCUCUACGCUUUUAUGACUGCCACCUACUCGAAUCAAUACGGCCUCAUGGACGGCCUCUUUGAAGAGGUAGAGAUACUGAAAUUGGAAGUCAUGACACCAAAGGCGGAGUUACCUGAUGAGGGUUACUAAACAUAUUGAAUUUGUAUCAUUGUAGUACGUUGUAAUCCGAAAUCAUGUAUUUUGCCCAACUAUCCUUUGUCGUGUAUUAGUAUAAUAUCUGCGUGUGUUGUGUACAUAUAUUGAUGUAAUUUUGAGUUGGAGAUGAAUGCAGCCAUUCUGUUAUUUAUACAGGAAAAUGAAUUGUCGUUUAUUACUA